AGUGAACGCUGGCGGUAGGCCUAACACAUGCAAGUCGAACGGCAGCACAGUAAGAGCUUGCUCUUACGGGUGGCGAGUGGCGGACGGGUGAGGAAUACAUCGGAAUCUACUUUUUCGUGGGGGAUAACGUAGGGAAACUUACGCUAAUACCGCAUACGACCUACGGGUGAAAGCAGGGGAUCUUCGGACCUUGCGCGAUUGAAUGAGCCGAUGUCGGAUUAGCUAGUUGGCGGGGUAAAGGCCCACCAAGGCGACGAUCCGUAGCUGGUCUGAGAGGAUGAUCAGACACGCUGGAACUGAAACACAGCCCAGACUCCUACGGAAGGCAGCAGUGGGGAAUAUAGGACAGUAGGCGCAAGCCUGAUCCAGCCAUACCGCGUGGGUGAAGAAGACCUUCGGCUUGUAAAGCCCUUUUGUUGGGAAAGAAAAGCAGCAGGUUAAUACCCCACUGUUCUGACGGUACCCAAAGAAUAAGCACCGGCUAACUUCGUG
rnacentral:rRNA from 1 species